rnacentral:rRNA from 1 species
GACAGAGGGGGCAAGCGUUGCUCGGAAUCACUGGGCGUAAAGGGCGCGUAGGCGGGAUGGCAAGUCGGUCGUGAAAUCUCUCGGCUCAACCGAGAAACGUCGGCCGAUACUGCCGUUCUUGAGGGAUGCAGAGGAGACUGGAAUUCCCGGUGUAGCGGUGAAAUGUGUAGAGAUCGGGAGGAACACCGGUGGCGAAGGCGGGUCUCUGGACAGUUCCUGACGCUGAGGCACGAAGGUCAGGGGAGCAAACGGG